UAAACAACUGUAAUAAUGUG
rnacentral:guide_RNA from 1 species